rnacentral:tRNA from 1 species
AGCGAUAGAAAUGAAUUAUUUAACCUCUGGUUUACAAGACCAGUGCUCUAUUUAUUUGAGCUACAAUCGC